UUCCUCGUGGCCCAAUGGUCACGGCGUCUGGCUACGAUUUAAUCAAUUAAGUAGUUACUUCUGAAACCAGAAGAUUCCAGGUUCGACUCUUGGCGGGGAAG
rnacentral:tRNA from 1 species